GCGUUGUUAUAUCGUUGAAAAGUAUGCGUUCAUUCCUUAGAAACACGCCGUUGCUAGGGGCGUAACGUGAACUUUUGGCGGGCAUUGUUGAACUUCUGAACGGCGUGCAAACAAACGUAUAACGAGUUAAAUAUUUUGUAAAAACGCCGCUUAAGCCUGCGACGGAACAGUAAGGUAUUUUUAGAAUGCCUGCAGUCAAAUUGGCAAUUGAUAAAACUAGAAUAGUGAAGCGAAUAGUGCGAAUAGUGCGAAUAGUCGACGAAUAGUACGAAUAGUCCGCGAAUAGUCGACGAAUAGUGCGAAUAGUCCGCGAAUAGUCGACGAAUAGUGCGAAUAGUCCGCGAAUAGUCGACGAAUAGUGCGAAUAGCCGCGAAUAGUCGACGAAUAGUACGAAUAGUCCACGAAUAGGCGACGAAUAGUACGAAUAGUGCAAUAGAGACUUUGCAAGGCUUUGCAGCAGUGCUGUAGAACUAAAUUUACCGGGGGGGGGCUCUGUUGACAAACAUGAAAUCGUGAAAACAUUCGUCGACGUACGUCAAUGACGUCAUACGUCUAGUGAUUGUCAUCAGUGGCGCCGUGGCCGGGGGGGGCAUGGCCCUCCCCUAUUGUUGACACCCGUCGUAAAAUUGCCAAUGCUGCCGGAAAUUGUCGGAAGAUUGUCAAGGCUGUCGGAAAUUGUCAAAGUUGUCGACGGGGGGGGGGGUGAAGAUUUGAAAUGUUGUCGUCCGGAAAACUUUUUGGUUUGUCGGAAAAAUUUUUCGGUUUGUCGAAAAGUACUGCCCUUGCCCCCCCCCCCAAAAAAAAAACAUGGGUCCCACGGCGCCACUGAUUGUCAUUCUAUUUCCUGUUAAAUAUUUGUUAAAACUCAGUGGUCCCGUAAUUUUUACCGAUUACGUAUGACGUCAUUGACAUCAACGAAUGUUUUCACGAUUUCAUGUUUGUCAAUAGAGCCCCCCCCCCGCCCCGCUUCGGUAAAUUUAGUUCUACAGCACGGUGGAAAGCCUUGCAAAGUCUCUAUUGCACUAUUCGUGGACUAUUCGUACUAUUCGUCGACUAUUCGCGGACUAUUCGCACUAUUCGUCGACUAUUCGUCGACUAUUCGUACUAUUCGUCGACUAUUCGCGGACUAUUCGCACUAUUCGUCGACUAUUCGCGGACUAUUCGCACUAUUCGUCGACUAUUCGCACUAUUCGCACUAUUCGCUUCACUAUUCUAGUUUUAUCAAUUGCCCAGUCAAAUUAGAACUCCCUGGUCGGUUUUGUGACAAAAUCUAAUUUAAUGUGACAAAAUCUAAUUUAAUUCGUCAACGCCAAGAAUAGAAAAACAUGUUUACGUCGUUACAACGCGCGCCAAAAGUUCACGUUACGCCCCUAGCAACGGCGUGUUUCCAAGGAAUGAACGCA
rnacentral:lncRNA from 1 species